AUUCCAGCUCCAAUAGCGUAUAUUAAAGUUGUUGCAGUUAAAAAGCUCGUAGUUGGAUUUGUGGCGUACGAUGUGUUCCGGGCACUUGUUGUCUGAGUAACUCGUCGUUGCCAUCCUUGGGUGGAACCUGUGUGGCAUUAGGUUGUCGUGCAGGGGAUGCCCAUCGUUUACUGUGAAAAAAUUAGAGUGUUCAAAGCAGGCUUAUGCCGUUGAAUAUAUUAGCAUGGAAUAAUGAGAUAGGACUUUUUCGCUAUUUUGUUGGUUUGCGCGAAGAGGUAAUGAUUAAUAGGGACAGUUGGGGGUAUUCGUAUUCCAUUGUCAGAGGUGAAAUUCUUGGAUUUCUGGAAGACGAACUACUGCGAAAGCAUUUACCAAGGAUGUUUUC
rnacentral:rRNA from 1 species